rnacentral:lncRNA from 1 species
UUUCAGGAGCAAAAGACCGCUUCUUCUGUCUCACCAGCCUCAUUGCUGGGUCGACGUUGAGUCGGUGUAUCAUUAUCUCCGGGGGGAUGCCCGACAUAUUCGCUGCCAACCAAGCGAAUACGUCGGCAUUGGCCUUCAGCAGCUCUAGUAGCUGCCGUCGCUCGGGGUAGGGUAAUUGAGACCCGACCCAGACCGUUCGUUCGGAAUUCUCCAUUAUCAGGAUGGGAACGAGCUGCUCGGCCGUUUCACCUC